GACGAACGCUGGCGGCGUGCUUAACACAUGCAAGUCGAGCGGAGCGGCGAACGGGUGAGUAACGCGUGAGUAACUGCCCCCCUCUCUGGGAUAACAGUUGGAAACGGCUGCUAAUACCGGAUAGUGGGGGAUGACUCGCGUCCUAUCAGCUCUUUGGUGGGGUAGUGGCCUACCAAGGCGACGACGGGUAGCCGGCCUGGGAGGGCGACCGGCCACAUUGGGCUGGGAGACGGAGCAAAGGGCAACGGGAGGCAGCGGGGGAGAAUAUUGCACAGUGGGGGAAACCCUGAUGCAGCAACGCCGGGUGCGGGAUGACGGCCUUCGGGUUGUAAACCGCUUUCAGCCAUGACGCGGUAGUGGCAGAAGAAGCACCGGCUAACUACGUGCCAGCAGCCGCGGUAAUUC
rnacentral:rRNA from 1 species